rnacentral:tRNA from 1 species
GGGAUUGUGGCUCAGCAGUAGAGUGCUCCCCUAGAAGGGGCGCAACCUGGGUUCGAUUCUCAGCACCA